GUUUAAUUAAAUUAAUGUUCCUUACAAAUUAAUUUCUGUUUAGUUCUUUUCAGUUAUGACCCCUCCUCCCAUAACUCAACCAUAUAAAUUUAACAUGUAAGAUUGAGAUGCAAGUUUUCAGAAAGGUGUAUAUAAGGCAGUGUGUGUAUAUCCCCUGAACACCUUCUAGAUAUUUUUAAGUAAAUUUCUAUGAAAUUUGGUUGAAUUCUUAUUGGAAAAUUAUCCUAUCAAACACACCUAUCUGUUUAAAAAUGAGUACAUCACUAGGUUUUACCAAGUAUCAUAUUUGGUUUUUGGGCUUUACUUUCCUACUUUCCCUGAGUCUUAAAAGUGGUUAUAAUAAUUCUCUCUUUGACUUCAAAGCUACUGUUACUGCCAGCUAAAAUGUCCUCCUCAUUCCUUCCCCUCAUCUCCUGGAUUUAACAAACUCCCUUCUUCAAAGCUUUGCUCACCCCCUUUUCUGCAACCCCUUUCUGGGCCCUCUGCUUUGUGGUGUUGCUACACUGUGCACAGCACCAUCGUGGAAUUCAUCACACCGUAACUGCUGACUCGUCUUGCUUUCUCAAGCUGCAUCCAGAGCUCCCUGAGGACAGGGCCUGUCUCUUAUUAGCUCUUGUCUCUCAAUGCUUCCAGUACACCUUAUUCUGUGGUUGGUGCUUACCUAAUAUUUUUAAAACCAUUUUAUAGCUGUGUGCGCAUAAUUAUACUUUUAAUAGUAAUCUUCAUGGAGAAAAUUCCACAAUUUAAUAAUGUAAUAAUGCAAACAGAGAUGAAUAAAGAUAUCGCCUGAAGCUGUGACACAGUUCUUCUGAUUUUCUUCCACAGAUUACAAUUCCCACAACUUUGGGUUUGAUUUAUUGGUGUUCAUUACCUUGUACCACAAUCUCAUCCCCAUUAGUAUGCUGGUCACUCUGGAAAUGGUGAAAUAUGUUCAGACCCUGUUUAUAAACUGGGAUGACGAUAUGCAUUAUAAAGAAAACAAUGUCUACGCCAUGGCCAGAACAUCGAAUCUUAAUGAAGAGCUUGGGCAGGUGAGGGCCUCUUCAGGGCUGGACAACGAGAUAGGGGCUUCAGAGAAGGUGGAUCCAGGAGAAGUGUGUGCAAAGUUCAAGUGUCAAAUUCAGGCUCAGACUAUAGUUAACUUGACUCCCACAUGGAGCUUCAAAAGUAUAAUUUGGUCAAAACAUGGAUAAUAUUCAUGAUGGGUUGCAAAUAGAACAGGCCUUCUAGAGGUGAUUAUGUGCUUAUGAAGGAGUGGAGGAGCUGGAAGGACUCUCAAGGAGCCACAGGAACCCUGGGACCUGCCACGGUGGCCGUCCUCCUGCUGCCCUAAGUCAGAUGCCUCACAGGGAAGCUUCCAGAGGCUGCUGCAAAAUUUCACGCCUGCCAAACCCAUGCAUCUGCCCACAGCUGCUGGAAGGGCAGUCAUAUAGCUGCUAAUUCUUUCUUGCAAGUUUUUCUCGAUGGUAGACUCUAACCUGGAGUCCUGCUGACAGGGCAUUGGGACACACGUAGCCUUGGGCCUCUGGUCACUGCAAUACAACGGAAAGAGGUGAGGAUGAGGCCAGGUUAACAACAGACAGCCGGUUACUUUUUAAAUGAUGGGGGCGUCUUUACAAGUGUAAAUUAAGUUAAAAAAAAACUCCCACUAUUGUUUGUCAAUUAUACCUCAAUAAAGCUAGGAAAAAACCCCUCUCCCGUAGUUAU
rnacentral:lncRNA from 1 species